GUAGUAACACGUGGGUGAUCUGCCCUGCACUCUGGGAUAAGCCUGGGAAACUGGGUCUAAUACCGGAUAGGACCAUGCUUUAGUGUGUGUGGUGGAAAGUUUUUUCGGUGUAGGAUGAGCCCGCGGCCUAUCAGCUUGUUGGUGGGGUAAUGGCCUACCAAGGCGGCGACGGGUAGCCGGACUGAGAGGUUGGUCGGCCACAUUGGGACUGAGAUACGGCCCAG
rnacentral:rRNA from 1 species